UACGUAGGCAGCGAGCGUUGUUCGGAGUUACUGGGCGUAAAGAGUGCGUAGGCGGUUUUCUAAGUUUGGUGUGAAAUCUCCCGGCUUAACUGGGAGGGUGCGCCGAAGACUGGAAGGCUUGAGUAUGGGAGAGGUAAGCGAAAUUCCUGGUGUAGUGGUGAAAUGCGUAGAUAUCAGGAGGAACACCUGCGGUGUAGACGGCUUACUGGACCAUAACUGACGCUGAGGCACGAAAGCGUGGGUAGCAAACAGG
rnacentral:rRNA from 1 species